GGGGGCAGCCGAGGAGCGUUGUCCGGGAUGUCCUCGAGCAGCGAGGGGCGCGUUUAGAACCAAAAUGGGUUCUUGACCCCUUGUGCGGUUUAAGGGAGUUUCUGCACGCAGCUCCUGUCGUUCUUUGCCUAGAGUCACAGUCUCCAGUUUUGCUCUUUCUGUGUUGUCUCUGUGCACGUGUGUGUUUGCGCCGCGCGCAGCAGGGCGCGAGGCUUGGCCCGUGAAGCACCCGCGGCGUCCAGGUGUCCCAUCUUGGCCAGGUGCUGCGCCGCGCUCCUCAGCAACGCCUCCAACCGCCGUCAGAUCUUCAGCUCCUGGGACCGGAGAGCGGCUCCGGCAGCGCCCGGCAGAAUUGCGGGCGUUCUCGCAGCCUUUUGCUAAUCUGUGUGCUCAAGAAGAAACGUUCUUAAUCAAGAAUUCGGAGGUGGAAAAUGCAGAACGGUCUAUGGGGCCCUCAAAGCUGCUGUGUGCAUUCUACUUCUCUCUCCUCUCAGAAAAGGUACGUGUGGCAUGCAAACUAUACUAUUCUAAAAUCCUGAAGGUUGAAUUGAACCAAGAGAAAAGUGGAACUAGCAACACACCUGGGUAACAAAACUAACAGUGUGUGCUGACGCUCUGGGGCAGCUGCAUAAGCCUCCUUCAGUUUCCUUUCUGAAAGAUCUAUGAGAUCCACUAAUAAAGAUUUCCAUGAAGUGAGUUUGCUCUGCAAGCUUCCAGCUGUAAGGAGGCUUUUCACUGGGGAAGCUGGCAAGAAAAAGAGAUCUCUGCUUUUCCAGAGUCUGCCUGUCCCUGCUGUUAUUGCUGAUUUCUACCUGAGCUCAUCGUCCUUCCUGUUCCAACCUUCCAAGUUCUGGCUUUGCUAAUAAGGCAUCUGCUCCAGUGUCAGCAGGGUGGCAGAUGUCAGCUAUUUUGGAAGGGGACAGCACAGUGCAAGCAAUGAGUGAUUAGGCUGAGCCCUUGCCACAGUCACUGUGGUGUGCUGGUAUGUAAACCAGCUGCUUUGGUGGCUGCAGCAGGAAUACUUAGUCUUGUUCCGUGCUCAACUUUGACACUCUUCAGCACUGAGGAAGGCCCAGAACCUCCCGAAGCAGGGAUGGCCUGCCUUGGCUGGGGAGGGACAGAUCUAGGACUUGCCCAAAGCUGGUGAAAAUGCCAGCUUCAGCUAACUCUGUAGCAGUGCAGUGCACUGCCCAGGCUGUCUCACAGCAUGAAUAUGUCUGGUUUAAUAGGACUGCUGUUAUACUGAAGGCUAUGAGCAGUCCCCAUCCCAGUCAAGCAGCAGCAUCUCCUCACACAAAACCUGUACUCAGCACAGAUCCCUUUAGCAGUACAGGGCGCAAGAAGGCUGCUCUUCCUUCCUCUUUCAGUCAUCUGGUGUGAGUACCUGUAGCAGCAGGGUGUGUUAUCUUCCCUUGCAAAGGUAGUCUCAUGUUUGGCAUUGCUGCAGAGACUUUGAUUCAGCUUUCUGUCAGAACCCAGAGCUCCCCUUCCUAUCUAUGCUCAAGUAAAUGCUCUGUUGUACAGAGAAGCCCCAGAGCUGCUCAGACUGUGCCCUGUGUUGUUCUCUGUAGGUGAAGAACAGGUAGGUUCUCAGGUAGGUGUAGAACAGCCAUGACACACCUUGGAGGCUUGAAGGAAGGGCAAAAGAGGUAUUCUUAAAGCAAUUAAAGAAAUAGCGAGUUCUGCAAUUGGUUGAGAAGUUUGGAGUGUGUGUAUGCUGAAUCCUUGUGUAAGUUGGACUGCUACCUGGGGUGGGAGAACCUUGUACAGCCUGCAGGGUGUGUACUAUGUGUCCUGGCUCCUAUGCACUGCUGAUAGCCAGCACAGGUGAGGCAGGAGGUGGAGGUGCUGAACAGGCAGGGUGUGAGAAAAUGCCUGAUGCCACUGCACCAAGAGCUGUCCCCCUCUCCUGCUUGGGGGUUGCCAAGUGUCCCUGCAUCUCUGUGUGCAAGAAUUGAGAUGAACUUACGCUUAUUGCACCCUUGUACAGCUUGGAUCUCCAGUCCUGCUUCCCAGAAAUAGUCUCUAAGAAAUUUCCUUGCAGUGUUUGGUAAGGCCAGCAUGCUCGCUGACUUGUGCAGUCACCUCUGUGCCAGAUCCGCCUCCCGCAACAAGGAAGAUGAGCUGGAUUUUUCUUGUCAACUAGUCAAUAUUUGUUCUUCCAUACAAGCUGUUAAAAUGCUGUUGCUGUCUUGUUUUGGUAUUUGUUUCUCCUGUCUUGCUGGAACAUUGCCCCAAAGUCUCCCACGUUGGCAGAUCUUGUUUGUGCAGCAAUGACAAGUGAGUGUUCAUAGAAGAAAAGGUUGUGGGAGCCUUCCACUGGUUGCCAGGCCAUGUUUUCACUUUCUGUUGUGUAUGGACCAUUUUUCAGCCCAUCUGUUUCAAGAAAGGCUGGAGUCUGGGAAGAGGAAGCCACAGGAUCAUUUAUUUAUUCAGUCCUGUGGUGAAGUCUUGGUUCCACUAAUUCUUGAGAAAACUCCUAUCAAAUCUAAUGGAGUCUAUUUGCAUCCAAUGCUAUCAGGGUGUGGAUGUCCCAGGCCUAUUUGGCCAUAUUGCCACUCCCAUUUCCUCUCUGCCUUUGUGUGCUCCAUCCCUGCAGCUUGACUGCAGUCCUAGCGUUCCCCUGCGCCUCUGAGGAAGUACCUUGAAAUGAUGACUGAACUUAUUGUAAGGAGUGAGAUAGCAUCAUUCUGCUGAAAAUGUUGAGGCAGCCUCUGCUGGGGCAACAGGACAGCUGUCUCCUCUGUCCUCCAGUGCUAGUCAUACUGGAUGUGAGAGGCCUCUUGUUGAGUUCCAUUCAGUCAAGACAAGAGUGUUAUGAAGGUAUUUCCACCUUAGACUGUGGGGAAUUAAACUGGCAUUCCUCUUCCACCUUCCUCUAAGAAUUCAAGCAUAGUUUUGAUUUAUAGUCUUAGCAUUAUGAUGUAUUUGCUGCAUGGAAGGGUCUGUGGCAUUAGAAGGAUCUACAUCAUUGUAGCCAAAAUACUGAGUCACAGCUUGAAGCAGUGAUGGUGCACCUGGUGGGAAGGCAGCUCAGAUGCAUUCAAUGUACCUGACUGAUGGAAGGGGUGGAACCAGGAUCCUUCUCUUCCCAGUCCUCAUUCAGGUGUUGGCAGUGGAGGUGAGGAGAUUUUGCUGGAGAUCCCUGCCUUCCUGAGGCCUUCCAAAGGUAAGCAAAUUUUCUCCCUUUGUUACUGCAUCUAUGACUACUGCAUUUGGACUUAUCCUCACUUGCUGUAGCUUGAGACUUUGCCACCCUGCCAUUAUUGCUAUACUUUCCAUCAUAUUAUAGUGUUACAAGGCUGGAAAGUGGUUUAGUGAGAGGAAGUCUGAAUUUCUCUAAGGGAACACCGUGGAUUCCUUUCGGGUACUACUUAUAUCCUUGCGGGGGAGGGAGGAGAUUCACACUCUUCCAUCCCCAAAGCCACAUUGUCAUAGUUUGGUCUUUCAGUAGUGCUGUUGGGAAUAUCUUUCCCUAAACCUGUUAGAAUAUUAAGACCCCAGUUAGACUAAAUUUUCAGAAAUCCAUAAUGAACAUUUGCAACAGCUGUGGGGCAAAGUGAACUAGCCAUUGUUCUUGCAGCUGCAGGGUACACAGUUCUUGCACAACUACUGUUGCUGUGACUGCUUUAUUGCAGAGAUCUGGUAUAUCACAGCACUGAAAACAAUUUCGCAAGCUAAAAAAAUCAGCCUCCAUUGCUUAUUUCCUUCCAGCCUCACAGGCAGCAUGGGGCAGAUCAGUUUGAUAGGAGGGGGAAUGGAUUCUCCAGCUCUUGUAUGUGUAUAGGGUAAGGCAGUAACUGAAGAAAUGGUGUGACGCACAUUCCUUAAAGGCAGACUUUUUGGUGGUUACAUUCCUUUGACUGAUGAUAAUUUACAAGGAGUGAGUGGAAUUUUUCAGGUGACUUUAGUUUGACCUGGUAGUGUGGAUGUGAGAGGUUGUCUUGGAUCUGCUUUGCUCACUGUCUAGGGCACAACCCUGGAGUCAGGUACUGUGGUGGUUGGUUCAGUCAGGCUCUGUGAAUUCAAGUAGCUUGUUCUUUCACAUGCAGGUGGAGGGAAGAGCUGAGGAACUUCUAACCCUAUUGCGCUACUCAUUUCACAUGUCAGUAAGGUUGGGUUUGCAGUUUGACCUGUGUCUUUGAAUCUUGAGGUCUUGUUUCAAAUCCUCUUGCUAAAAGAAUGGGGAGUACCAUAUCAAAAGGAGAAAAUGCUCUCUUUGCAAGGAAGGGUGAAGUAGAAUUUGUUUGCUUUUGCCCAGCUCUUUGUGGUGGUGGCUAGGAAGAAGUUUCAGUUUCUAACACUAGCUCCUUCUGAGAGGUGUUUCCCAGUGUGCUGGCUGGAGGGGAGGCUUCCACAUCAGCAGAGAAAUACAGCUCAGAUGGGGCCCAAACUGUAGUAAGGGGGAGCAGGGCCUCGUGUGUAUGCUCUGUGCCUCUGAAUGCUGGUAUGUAUCUGAUGAGAGCUCCUGGCAUCUGCCUCUGGAGCAUGGCUAGCAGUGCACUUUGUGCAAGGUGCAGAAUGGGAGACAUGCAGGUUAGCAGCUGUCAGCCUGGUGUUUUCUGUAGUAGUCAUGCUCCCCUAGGUACUUACAAAUGUGUUACAGAUAAAAGAAGCAAGUAAUCACCUAAUCCAGAGGGGAGAAUAGGUCAGGGAGGCAAUGCGAAGAGGGUGUAUUACUUGGGGCAGGAAGCUGAGCCAUAAAGGCUGCAGCCUUCAAGUGUAGUGACAAAGCUGAUAAAGUGGACACAGGCCUCUGGAGUCCCAGCAUGGGGCUUUCUGACUGAGGCUGUUCUGUGUUCUGCUGAGCCCAAGGCCCUGCACUGCAGCAAGUGGCAGCACAGGGACUGAAUGCCUGCAGGAAGGUGACGUACUGACUGGGUUGGCUGUCAUCAGGGAAAUAAAACUGCAAAGGGUGGGGGCCAGUAAUGAGCAGAGCACCUCAGGAGUCAGAUACCAUGUCCCAGGAGAUGCUGAAUUUCUGAUUGAGGGAGAAAUGUGACAGAUUUUUUUAUUAUUAUUACUGUUAUGGCAGCAAGUCUUGUUGAGCAAAUGCUCAGGUUUUGCAUUCUCUUGGGGAGGACUCUGGGGAAAAUCCUAGCCUGGAAAAGGUGUCUGCAGGUUUUGCACCUGCCAGGCUGAUGUCAGCCUCCCACCAGUGUGUUUGUUUACCUUGACUGCUUGCACAAAUACAAGGGAGAGCAACCCUAUCUCUGCUGGGAUUUCUACAUACUUUGAAGGACACUUCUGUUAAGAAAGUAUAGUAGGUAAAAGCCAGCUCCUGUGCAUAGCAUUGUCUGAACAGAAAAGGCAGGGGAAGAGAGGAAUGAGACCAAUUGUGAGCCAUGCCUGACAGAAAACUGUCUCUGUAUCCCAUAGUCUGCAUUGUAUGUGAAAGGAGAUGCUGACCUGAACCUUUGGACACUAUGGCAAGCACUCUUGAACAGUUCCACUUUCAGACUCUGUCCUUCCAUAAAGACAUUGUGUGAAAUCCUUGAAAACAGAAACGAGAGCUUUGGGCUGACGUCAGAAUGGAGCCAGAACUCUGCUGCUGAGGGCCUGAGCUUUUGUUCUGCCUCUAAGAGGGUGUGUUUCAGCCACUGCAGUCUCUUAGCUGAGGUGAAAAUUCUUACAAAUGACUCGCUGACUUGUUACCUGGGCAGUAAAACAGAUAUGCAUUUUUCAGCAGAGAGAGGAAAUGAGGCCUGUUUGUUAGAGGCUGCCAUGUCUGUGUGCAGUUGGCUGUGCUGAUGGGCAGUGACAUCAUUCACUGAGCAAACACUGGGUGAAGGAUCUACUGUUAAAACAAACUGUCAUGGGAAUGGAUGUUUCCUGCAAACAGUGUUUUAAAAUAAACUUAAUGAUGACUGAGAAAUUUAAAACUUUUCUCUGCCUGGGACAAAGCCAGAAGGGAAUUUGCUUUCCAGAGCUGGAGAGCAUGGCUUAGACGGCUCAAACUUUUGGGAUACUGGAGAUCUUGUCCUUUUGAGUUGCCUAAGUGUUGACUCCUGCAACUCCCCUGCAAGCAGGACAGUGCUCUUAGGCCAUGACAGAGAGGAAACAGCGGUAUAGCAAGCCAAGGGCCUGUAUGGCCAUGGAAGCUGGAGUCACAAGGCAAUUCCCAAGUGAGCCAAUCAGUAUUGGGUAUAGCAGCUUCCAGGAAUUCCUGGAAAGCAGUGUGCCCACCAGCACAUUCUUCUGGGAACUGAUGAGUUCUUCCACCACGUCCUUAGCUGCUAGCCUGCAGCACGGGAUCACUGUUUCAGAGCCAUGUCAGCACACAAGUCUCCUUGCCUUCAUCUGACAUUACCCGUGCUUCUUGAUUAAAUGGGAUUUGGUGUACCUUCUCCAGGGAAACCCUCAGAAACAUGUAGCUGCAUCAGACUGAAGUGCUGUCCAGCAGUAGGGGCACAGAAGUCUGCUGACCUCACCCACAGACUUGCUUUUUGGGUAUUUUGGUGUGAUCUUGGGAAUACACUUUGUGACUGCUGGUAAGCUUUCUGCCAACAGCUAAUGUUUUAUCUUCAUCAUCUGGUUUUCCACUUAGAUUUUUAAAACCCCUCGGAGUUAGUGUUGAGUUCUUGGAUGUUUUCUUUUGUUACAGAAGGGAGUGUUACUUUGUUUUAAAGCAACACUUUUACCUCUCUGAGGCUUUCUGUUUACAGGCAGCAGACUGCAUGGUACAGUCUUCUAAAUCCCCUCUGACAGGACAGAUCCCUUCAAGCCGACGUUUCAGCCCCGUCUGCUGGGAGGCUGUGUCAUGGUUUGGCCUGGUUUGGCCUGGUUCCAUGACAAAUAUGAACAAUCCACAGAACUGCAGCAUUAACUCUGUAACUCCCUGUGCACUGCAUGAUGUUAUGAUGUGGAAUACCAAUGACAAACCAUGAAACUAUGACAGGUUGAGGCCUACUUUGGAAGCAGGGAGAAGGGCACCACGGAACACCAAGUGCAGCAGCUGGUCUUUGGUGCCUGAGCUGCCUGUUGGCAGAUGGAGGUCGGUUGCUGUUGGCAUCAGCUGCCUCCCCUCUUGAGAAAUGUUUUGGCUGCUUUUCUUUCUGUUUAGAUAGGCCUGAAUUGGUGCUGGUCCAUUAACCCCUCACCUGCUGCCUUCACUCCUGAAAAAAGCACUGCUUUGUGGGAGCUGGAGAAGUGUGUUCUGUGCUAUUGCUGGGUGAAUCCCAGCACAACCCAGGUCCCAGUGCUGACUCAGAGCUUUGACAUGUUUUCAAAUAUGUGAUUACUUUGAAUAAACAUCAGGAGGGCAAGGUGAAGUGCUGGGACCCACAAGUAUGUCUGUGGGGCUUGAGGUUAAGGACCAAGGUUAACCAGAAGGGCCAAAUGUCAGCUUGCUGUGGCUCUGGGAGGAGUUCAGGGCCUUGUGUAUGGAACUGCGGCUUGGCACUGGAGUGAGUGUGUGACAACCAGGGGUGUUGAAUUGGCCUUCAGCUUAGUGGCUCCACUGGGCUGGGCCUGUGGGGCACAAGUGGAGCUGAGACCAGUGCUCUUGGCAGCAAAGGAGGAUGUGCUGGUUCUGUCCCCAUCAGGAGCUCUGUGAGCUCUCUCUGCCUUCCUGAGAAAGAGUUUGCUCAGUGCCUGGAAGGUGCUUCAGAACCUUCCUUGGCUCUGUGCUAAAUUUACCCUCAGCUUCCUAUAGGCGGCAUGACUUGGGCAGAUGUGUUGGCAUGGCAAUGGCCCCUAGGGAUGGCUUGGCACAGGGAGCAGCUAGGAUAUGGCUAUGCCCCCAGCUCCUGUCAGCUCCCUGAUCACUGUCCAUAACUCACCAUCUCUCCAGCAGCCCUUUGUGCAGCUACCAUGAUGUGAACAGCACUAACAGGGCUUGGCCACUAAUUAGCAGCAGUAAUAAUAAUGUCCUCCUGCUUUUGCUCAUAGCACAAUGCUACCAGGGAGGUUAGAGCCAGGUUCUGUACGUAGUGGGCAAAGUGCAGGCCCCCUACACCCUAGCGACUGAUGUGCUCAGAGCUGGGCACAUUGCUUGCUGCCAGGCCUGCAGUGCUGACCUUGUGCCCUAUUCAGCUCUGCAGAAACUCUCUGCUCCUGACUGCCCACAGCAGCAGUGGUGUUGCCUCACCAAGUGAUUCAUGUGUAAGCUGUUAAUUGCAAACAGAGCAGCCCAUGCUGGAAUGGGGCAGGCAACCUCCUGACUGCUGGGGCUUUUGCCAUUUGGCACAUGUGUCACAGUACCCACUCAGCAAAGAAACUGUAUGCCGCUGUAUACUGUGCUUUCAAAAACCAAAAACAAAACAAGAUCUGAGAGGCUGAAUUUUUUUUUUUUUUAAUGGAAGUGGAGGUUUUAGAGAAUAUUUGCUGGAUCUGGUGCAGUACUUUCCUUGCAAGCAGACACCUGGGCUUCCCUAAGAGCCCUGCAGGCUCAGUUGAAAGGGUAAUGCAUACCCAGGUGAUUCUGGUGCAUGGUAUUAUUUACCCUAUUGACGUCAGCAGCUGCAUGCUCUUAGUUUCUCCCGGCUCUCACAGCUUGCAGGAGACAGACUGCAGAGGGCUCAUGAACUCCCCAAAGAGUACCCAACCCUUCCAGAGCUCAGCAUGUACUUCUCAGAGAAGUAGAUGUCCACUGGGGUCAAAUCUCCUAUUAGCUUUCCAAAAUGUAACUUGUUUUCCUUCUAUUCUGUAAAUCAACACCACGUGGCUUCUUAUCAAAACACUAUUGCCUUUAUUUUCUGAUAAGUCAGUUCAGCAGGCACUGUUACCUAAAACCAUAUUAUGGCAUUUUCCUUGCAUAACAUUUUUCCAUUAAUGUAUCUUUCUGAGCACGGAGAUCUCUUAUCAAAACCAACACUUUAAAGCCCUUUCCUAAUACUGAGUGGCAGCUGUAUAGGAAAUGGAACUUUCCCAGCAGGGAUACUGUUUGGGAUCCUUGCUGGAAAGACCUAGAACAAUAGACAGACAAUUCCUGAAAUAAGCUGGAAAGAUGAGAUCUAGUUUUUGAGUCCUGUUUACCCUGAGUAGCCUUUACUAAUACCUAUGCUUGUCUAAGAACAAAGGCAUAUAGGUGUCUAGUGGUGUGAUUUUGCAGAUUGGGCUCAGCCAUAUUAUUUUGAGCACUCCAAUAUUGUCAUGCGGUGCUGUUAUAUGCUUCAGUCUGAGGUUGUACUAAAAUAGAAUAGCUCCAGCAUUCCUAUUUAGCCCGUUAAUGAUGUUUUUGGAGUGUCAUUUCAAACACACAGUAGUCUCCUACUUCCCACACCCCAUGCUCAAGGGCUGUGUGGCCCCUGGGGUGAUGUUCCUUGCCAGGGGCCAGGUUUGUCUGUGUACCUGGUGUGAGCAUGCACGGCUGCUGGCAGUAAGGGGAGGGGCUGCUCUCUGUAUUUGUGUGCACUUCUCAACUUUGGAUCUAGUUUCCUGACACCCAUUUCUGUGCUGUCCCACACCAUUGUUUAGCUUGCAUCUUCUUCCAGAUACCAGGUAAAAUGUUUUCAUAUCUGUUCAUCAGUCUUUCUUUUCCUUUCUGCCUUGUUCCCACUGUCUCUGCUAUGCCAAAACAAGUGCCAAUACUAUUUGCUCUUCGUGCCCCUGUGGGCUGCUGCUUUAGUGGCUCAAUCUGCCUUAUUUCUCUGUUCUGCUUCCCAGUUCUUAUUCCUUUGAGCUUUUUUUGUCCCAAUUCACAGCUGAUUCUCUAUGAGAUUUACCCAAUUAGAAAUUUCUUUUCAUUGUAUUUAAUGUGAGUUUCCCAAGAUCUCACUUCCCUUUCAGACAUGCAAUCUGAUAUUCUUGUCAGAAAAUAAGCUGAGUCAGCAGAAGUUUCAGUCUUUUGUUGUCCUGGUGUGCAGCCCUCUCUGCCAGGCUGACCUGCUUGGCAGUGCUCCUUCUGUGUUGCCCUCAUUGGGGUCAGGACUUCAGAAUCUGUGCGGCAUUGUCCAGUUACACUCUUUAAUUUAUGGGGGAAAAAUAACCUAUGCUGUGUUGAAGCUCAUUUUCUUGUGUGCGGAAUUCUUACCAGUGAUCAGGCAGUCAUACUGUACUCCCUCAUUAGAAAAUACAGAGAUAUUAAUUUCGUUCUGCCUCCUGCUUGUCACAUAGCAUUGCAUUCAAUCACCCCUGUGUAGCAACACCUAAAUACACUGGCAAAUCCCAUUUCACCUUGCAUUCCCUGCUUCAGUACCAGGCUGCUAAUUUCUGGUUUUGCUCUUUAAGCAUCACGUUUCUUUCUAUUUUAGAAACCCUUGGAGUCACAGGAGUUACAUUAGAGAUGUCAAGGAAAGAAUUCUUGGGAUAUUUUCACGUGUGCACUUUUAUGACCUUUCCUGUAAUAUGACUGCUGUUGCAGUUCUAUGGAAGAAGCUGGGAUGUAAUGUUUUCCUUACCUGAUCUUGUUUCUGACUCUCUCUCUCUACUUGGAGCAUGGCAUUGUGCUUUUCCCACAGAAUCUCUCUUUGGAGUUGCCCAUUUUUUCUGUAGACAAGCUUUCUGGUUAAAUUAUCAGAGAGCUGCUGUGGUUCGUUUGUUAGUUUUCACCCUCAACAGGACAGUGGUGUAGGGCUUCAAGCAGAAGAAUAAGAUGAUUUUUUCACUGCUGCUGCUUAUAGUUGUAGAAAGAUGAAGCUGCUUGUCUAAGAGGAAGGUCCUAGAUUGUCUUAGGCUCAAAGUAAGCCUUUUAUACCCAGAUCAGGGUAAAAGGUUUCAAGGAAAGCGGUGAAUUGGAUGCAAUUCAUAAAUUGUUUUAACUUGUUGCAUUCUCAGAGUGGGGCUUCUUUUCUUAAGUCUUUCAUGGGCCAGUUCGGUCUUACUGUCAGUACAGAGAAAGGGAAGAGCAGGAAAUAUGUGUUUUCAAAUUUCUAAUUAGUAAGACAACUUCAGGCUAAGUGCAAAUCUUGCUGUUGUUUCUGAUUCCGCAGAAGGAAAACUUCGGCAAACUUUCCCUUCUUUUGUCAUCUCACCUUAAGUACUUUUGAACAAGUUUUCUGUUAGAGCACACAGUACUGUAAGAAUCCUGAGGCAUCAAGCUUUCCAGUCUCUGGAAAAUACUGCAGUGUCAGAUAGACUGCCUGGUUCUUUAUUCUGCAUGAAACAUUCACACAGCAUUCCUAGGAAUUAGCAUUACAUGAUCCAUAUUAAACUGCUUUUGUGUAACCUCUUGGGUAACUUAUUCUGACUGACGCGGAGCAAUGACAAAACUAAUAGUGAUUUUGAGAAUAACUUUCCUCUUUCAAUGUCAAGCUGAUAUACCAUUGACCUUGCCAAUUUUGGAGUCCUGCUCCAGAAGCAAAGCAGAUAAUAAAGACAUGCAAUUUUUUCCUUUUCUUUGUGGAACUGUUAGAAUGCUUUCUCCACUUGUCUCAGAGAGUCUGUAGUAUCAACAACCCCAUGUGUGUUAAAACAAUAGGAAGCCAACUUCAGCCUAGAGAAUGCAGCCUUUGUAGUAGUUAUUAUUAUUUUUUUUUUUUGGUGAUUUGAAGCUUUGUGUGUCAGAGACAAAAUAACUGCAACACUAUAUAUAAGGAGGCUGCUGAAGAACACUGUGCAGCAGAAGCCACAUUAGCUUACUAUGUAUUUGAAAAUGAAAUGUAUGUAUUCUUUAUUUUGUAUCAAUACACUGUAAUUGCUUCACAGAGUCCAGCAUAUCAGUUGCAUGUAAAUACUACAGAUGAACUUACCAAACUGGAGCUCACAAUACUAGUGCAUUUAUCCCAAAGCAGAGACUAAGCCCUCUAACUCCAUAAAAAAAUACAUUAAAGAACGUACCACACGCACACAUAUAUUGCACUUUUCUCCAUAUGAAAUUUUUACCCCAUAUACAUCGCACCAAAGUCUCUUCAAAGGAGCCUGUAAUACAAGAUAAUAAAGCUAAUAAUUACUCUUAACAGUAGUGUACACUGUCUUCUAAUGUUAGGCGUAACAGGUUUGAACAAAGGAAUCACUCUGAAGUAGCAUGACUACAAAGUGGUGCCCAGUGGAUACUCUGCUGUAUGAAAAGGCAUUAGAAGCCUUUUAUUCUAACUGGCUAAAGGAAAUUACAUGAAACGUUAAAUAGGAUGUUGGUUGAUGGUAACAGUCUAAGCUAUAUUCAAAAACUCCAUAGCUUUCCUCUUAGCAGUACUGCGAAGCUCAGAUGAGCUUAGAUUCAUUGGCACAUUCUGAUAAAUGAAUCUCAUGAGAAGAAUUCUGCUCUUGAGUUACCAUUGAGUCCUAAAAUGUAUGGUACAGUGGAGCUUACAGGGAGGAAAGUAGCUAUAGGCUUGGCAGUAACCCAGCUCCUGGUGCAAAACUGGGCCUGUUGACACAGCUGUGUGUCUCAGUAGCAGUUUUGGCUGCAUAGUUCCUUGAGCACUUGUCUGAUCUUAGAAUGGCGGGAUAGAAAAGGAAUGAAAGAAAAGGACUUCGUUGCCACCUUUUCUCUUCUGCAAUACUAAAAUGCCUGGUGCCGUAUGCUGGGGUGGUUUUCAUCUGUUUCCUGUCCUUUUGUCAGUCACUUCAGGGGGGCACAGAGGUUUCUAUUUUCUGCAGGUAUUUGCACUGUCAGAAAAAGCUUUAAUUGUGUGAAUUCCCUUCAAAAAGAAAUGCCUAUCUUAGCUAUUUAAACAACAGCUUUCCAGCUGUCUUUAUCUUGUGUCAAAAAAUAAGUAGUGUGUAGAUGUGAUUGCUGUUCCUUAAACUUUCCUUUGCUGCUGCCUUGAGAAUCAUUCUGAUAUCAGAGGUAGAAGCUGAGCGCUUAGGACUGAAUUGGAUCAGUAUCAGAGCAGGCUCUGUACCAUCAUUGAUGACAUCUCUAAUUGUCAUACACAAGAAACAAGGUACUUUCUGUUGGUUGUUAAACUCUUCUCUUCUUCACAAAGCCUACAGUGCAGUGUCUGAAGUCUGUUCCACAAUUAAGCGUGGUCUUAUUGCUGUAAAUGGCUGGCUGGUUAUUCACCUUUCUGGUGAAAGAUAAGAGAGCAGCUUUGAGAACUCCUCUUUGGAGCCCAGUAGGAUCUAUGGUCUGUCAUACACUGAAGAUCCAACUGAUCCCAAGUACUUCUUUUCUUCCUCCUGGUAUCUGUUCAAGCCAGAGCUUUGCUACAGUAUGUAAAAACACUAAAAAUGUUUGUCUAUCCAUUUUAAGUGACUACAUGUCCUGAAGACUUGGUGACUACAUCCUCCUUAGUUGUAGUGUCAAAGUCUUAAAUUUAAAUUAAACUUACAUUCUAGAGAAAUUUUCCAGUAAACAUUGGCGUUCUCUACAUGUGCCAUCAGCACAGUUUCUCCAACACUCUUUGUGCUUUAAUGAAUCUGCAACUGUGCUUAAAGUUUGCUCAGAAAAGGGCUGAAACUGUCUGGCUACAAGCUUCAUCUACAGGAGAAAGACAUGCAAUAUCCCACAACAUUUAAAGACCUGAGAUGAGCGCCAAAUUAGUGAUCUAAACUUACUGCAGAUUCCUAAACAAUCCUCCUACAACUAGCAUCUCCUGACUGAAAGAUCUGGGGACACAACUGCUUGUUGAAUUUUGUAUUUGUUGAAAUAGUACAUAAGAGUUCUUGAUGCUAAAUAUUGCUGUAAUACUUUCAGUGUUGUAUAUACUGAAACAAUCAAAACACUAACAAAGUUCAGCAUUACAUUCCACAUGGUGGAACGUGUGCUCUGAAGGGACUUUGGCAGUAGCAAGGAUGUAAAUGGGGUAUUGUCUACUUUCUUCAGAAAAAAAAAAAAGCAUAUAGUCUGAUAAAGAACUGAAAAAAGGCACAGCACUAUCACUUCACAGGGUUUUUUUUUUUUUUUAAGCUCAUUAAGUUCUAAAACUGUAAAUAAUUGUCCAAAUAUACAAAGCUCAAUAAACCACCA